GAGCGGGGUUCCAAAAUAAAAGAGCGCCACAUCUCCCUCCUUUGUAAAAUUAAAACUAUUUUUAAGUUCGGAAAAGCCCGUCAGUCUCUCAUAUCUUCUAUCACUCUCUUUUCUUUCGUUCUGUCAUGGAACACAAUGAUUGGAGAUAUUGUUAAAAGCAAGACGGCGAGCAUCGCUGAGCCGCAGUUCGCGACUGCAAAAACGUCAAGGUACCCGGUCUCAUUAGUGGACAGCCACACCAUUGCCCAGAACAUAAGAUGAGCCCUUGUCAAAUUGAAUUGUGUUUUGUUGCUAUUGGUUGAUUAUCAAGUUGCUAGAAGGUUCAAGGAUAACUACGUUGGCUGUAAAAGCAGCUCUUAGACCCACUUAUAAGCUACGAAAUAAUAUAAGCAAGGAGCAUUUAAAUUUGUAAAUGGCUCAGCAACCUCUUGGUACAAACCGAGUCAACAAAUUGAUGAAGGAAAAUUUUCUGCUGACAAGCUUGGUUUCAUAUUGCUGGGAAAAGUUUAGGUGGAUAUUGCCAUGAAAUAGAAGCCCUGUUAUUUGGUCGAUAAGCUAGCAGCCAAGCACUUGCAGUUCCGAGAUAUCUUGCAAGCUUUGGAUACAGUACUGCUUUGGAGAAGAAUAGAUUAGUUUAGUUAUAUAGACUUUUUCUUUCUCAGUAGGAUGUGUUUAUAGUGGAAAAGUACAAAAAGAUUGUUGGCUGAGACUAUGUAAUACUUGCAUAAUUUUAUGAAUGUCAUUUGGUAUUUUGAUUCUUUCA